ensembl:lncRNA
AUGGUGGUUAACUGUUGGUAGAAUUUUUUUUUAACAUUAUCUGCCAAUUACAUCUGCCACCCUUCUCCAAAUCUGUGCCCCUACCUGGCCCCCCCAACAAAAAUUUCCUAGACACGCCACUGGGCUUGACUGCAGUGCUGGAAUUGGAGGCUGGCUUGACACCAGUUCCAGCAGCAGCACCGCACCAGACAGUUUCAUGAAGAGGAAUGGAAAUGUCAGUGCAUGGAAAUUCAAAGUCUUAGUUUGUCUGUUAUGUUCGGACUGCAACACUGACUGGAUACAUCAUUUCAAAACACCUGCAGUGGGAGUUCAACAACAACGACAUGGAUGCUGUAGCAUCUGCGUCACGCCUCUGUGGUCUGCUGAUCUGCUGCGUCAUGUUCAUGGUUUCAGCAUCUGCAGACCAAAAAAUCAUCACAGCUGAGUCUGGACAGAACGUCAUUCUGCCGUGUCGAGCUCCAAACAACAACAUCAUAGCUGUAAAAUGGAGCAGAGCUGACCUGGAGUCAGAAUAUGUGCUUUUGUAUCUGGAUGAACAGUUUGUUCCAGACGACCAGCAUCCAUCUUUUAAAAACCGGGUGGAUCUGCAGGACAGACAGAUGAAGGAUGGAGACGUGUCUUUGAUUCUGAACAAUGUGACGAUUAGUGACGCUGGAACAUACGAGUGUUGUGUUUUCAUGGAAGAAACACGCUCAUGGAAAAUCAUCAACAACUACCUGAGUGUUGAUCCUCCAGGUGAGUGAGUAGAGUUGAGUGUGUGUGUGAUCAGAGGUGAAGCUGCUUCCUGGUUGUUGAUGUUUGUUUCUAAAGAUGUUGUUGAUGAGACUUUGUAGAAAGCAGCUGGUCUGAGUGAUGUGAUCAGAGUGCAGUAGAUAAUGUCUGACAGCAGUUUGAAGAGGAAAUGGAUUCUGUUCUGUUCUUCACUCAUCACCUACCUGACAGCUGACACCUCACACCUGUUUCUCACCUGCAGGUCAGACAGGAGGAGACACAGAGGAUGGAGCUGUUGGACUGAAAGUUGGUCUGUCUGUUUUGGGUGUGCUUCUUGUUGCUGCUGUUGCUGGUUUUUUGAUCUAUAUAAAACAACAUCAGACUCAGGAUUCCUACUAGCUUCCAGCUGAACAGCAGCUGGAAGUUGUUAAAAUCUCCCAGUUCUUUUAAUCUUUGGGCUGAAGGAAGGACAAUACUCGGUGUAUAAAUGCUCAAUCAACAAUCAUUUAUUUCCAUAUAAUUCAACACUUAAGAGCAUAAGAACCAUCAUGAUGGGGAGACCUGCCUGCAGAGGGUCACAGCAAGUCUCAAAAUGGUGACGGGUUACUCAGCUUCUUAUAGCCUCUAGUGGCCCCCACCUAGUCGUAAAAGCCUAAACAUUCACAUUCUUUCUCUCUUAUGGCGCCUAAGUUAUGACCUCGGCUCCCUGUCUUUCUGCUCUCUGUAAAGGUGGGGGUAUGGAAUGUGGUCGUCUCUUCUAUUAUCGGCACAAGGUCUUCUGCACACAACAUUCUCUUCAUGAUUCAGCAGUAUGAAAUGUCAAGAAACAGUGUAACACAUUCAACAGUGUCGAGUAAUACAGGUCAAUCCAAUAGAUCUAAUGAUUUUCACACUCUUUUAAGUCAGAAGUAUAAUGCAAACUAAAACUACAUACUGAUCACACACUCUAUAUUAAGGGGUAUAAUAUGAUCUACAGCAGUAUCAUAAUUCAACUACUUUGAUUACAUAUAUAAGGUAACAUAUGAUAAUAGAAUAAUCUCACAAUUCCCCCUUUUGAUCUCUUAAAAAAGAGAUCACUUAUAACAUACACUCUGGCAUUGCAAGGUCCAGUUCUUCUUGGUCCU